rnacentral:rRNA from 1 species
GAUCCUGGCUCAGGAUGAACGCUAGCUACAGGCUUAACACAUGCAAGUCGAGGGGCAGCAUGGUCUUAGCUUGCUAAGGCUGAUGGCGACCGGCGCACGGGUGAGUAACACGUAUCCAACCCGCCGUCUACUCUUGGCCAGCCUUCUGAAAGGAAGAUUAAUCCAGGAUGGGAUCAUGAGUUCACAUGUCCGCAUGAUUAAAGGUAUUUUCCGGUUAGACGAUGGGAUGCG